rnacentral:rRNA from 1 species
UACGUAGGGUGCGAGCGUUGUCCGGAAUUAUUGGGCGUAAAGAGCUUGUAGGCGGUCUGUCGCGUCUGCUGUGAAAAUCCGGGGCUCAACCCCGGACUUGCAGUGGGUACGGGCAGACUAGAGUGUGGUAGGGGAGACUGGAAUUCCUGGUGUAGCGGUGAAAUGCGCAGAUAUCAGGAGGAACACCGGUGGCGAAGGCAGGUCUCUGGGCCACUACUGACGCUGAGAAGCGAAAGCAUGGGGAGCGAACAGG